UACGUAGGGUGCGAGCGUUUAUCGGAUUUACUGGGCGUAAAGCGUGCGCAGGCGGCCCGUUAAGACAGGUGUGAAAUCCCUGGGCUCAACCUAGGAAUUGCGCUUGUGACUGGCGGGCUCGAGUACGGUAGAGGGGGGUGGAAUUCCUGGUGUAGCAGUGAAAUGCGUAGAGAUCAGGAGGAACACCGAUGGCGAAGGCAGCCCCCUGGGCCUGUACUGACGCUCAUGCACGAAAGCGUGGGGAGCAAACAGG
rnacentral:rRNA from 1 species